rnacentral:rRNA from 1 species
ACUUUGACCGUGCAAAGGUAGCAUAAUCAUUUGCCCUAUAAUUGAGGGCUAGUAUGAAUGGUUCGACGUAAGCAAAACUGUCUCUGCAUCGAUUUUUUAGAAUUUGAUUUUUAGGUGAAGAAACCUAAAUUUUAUUAAAAGACAAGAAGACCCUAUUGAGCUUUAAAAAAAUUAAUAGGUUAAUAACUUUUUAUUCAAAAAAUUUAUCUAUUCAAGAUUUUGGUUGGGGCGACUAAGGAACAAAUAAAGCUUCUUUAAUUAUUAAAGAUUUACGAAUAAUGAUCCAAAUAUUUUGAUUAAAGGAAAUAGUUACCAUAGGGAUAACAGCAUAAUUCUCUUUAAGAGUUCAUAUCGAAAAGAGAGUUUGUGACCUCGAUGUUGGACUAGAAUAUCCUGAAGAUGCA